GCCGGUGUAGCUCAGCUGGUAGAGCAGCGCAUUCGUAAUGCGAAGGUCGGGAGUUCGAAUCUCUUCACCGGCACCA
rnacentral:tRNA from 1 species